ACACGAUGGAGAUACCAUGUCAAGAUAAUAUCGUCAUCUGGAAGAGCUCACGUAUGAUAAGAACGAUGGCGAUUGGCGGCCAUUGAAAGCAAAGAUGAAAGAUCACCCCAACGUAAGCUUCUUCUUCUUCUUCUUACUUGCUCAGUACAACAACGUAGUAUAAACAAAUUCAUCGGCUGUGCGAGGUGAGUACGAAACCUUAACGUACUCUUCCAAAGUGCAAACCUCAAUGUUCAACCAUAUCUUGCCUCUCCAAUUACAAGUAGUGCUUGCUGCGGGCAGUACACCCACAUCCCCAAUCAUCCCAGCCCAAUGGUUGCAUCUUUUCCCCAUUUAUAGUCGGAUUCUCCCUCGGAAAUUUUAUAGAGCACUGCUGAAUCAUCCGAGUCGCGCAUGCCAAAAGCGGAGAAGAGUGGCACGAUUGUAAUUUUCGUCAAAACCAAGGGCAGAUAAAAAAGCAGAAUGGUUUGCAGGAAUCGGAGGAAAAAGCUUUUUUGAAUUUUAUAUCAUCAAAAUUUCUUGCCCCGACCUUAACCGGCAUCAUCGAUUUCAGAGGUGGAUGGGUCCCACAGAAUUGACCUGACACUACAUGUGCGCUUUGCGUUCUUGAUGGGGAUCAACGUCUUCCUAGACUUUGUGUCGGGUUAGAUGUGUUCUCAGGCCGUCCCCGCCGGGCUUUCCUCCACCGGCCUAGCGGUGCUCGCCUUUCGGAUGCCAUUGUCCCACCGCAGGAGCCGCAAUUCCGAACUGGCCAGCUUAUCGAAAUAAUCCAGAGGAGACAAAGGAACUUCAAAGGCAAGUGGACGAGCUUUUAGCUAAAGGGCAUGUGCGUGAGAGCAUGAGUCCUUGUGCGGUCCCGGUGUUGCUGGUGCUAAAGAAAGAUGGUACUUGGCGAAUGUGUGUUGAUUGCCGCGCUGUAAACAAAAUCACGGUAAAUAUCGACAUCUGAUUCCUCGAUUAGAUGAUAUGUUGGAUAAAUUGCAUGGUUCCACUUUAUUUACAAAAAUAGACUUGAAAAGCUGAUACCAUUAAAUUAGGAUGAAAGAGGGUGAUGAGUGGAAAACGGCUUUCAAAACAAAACAUGGCUUGUAUGAGUGGUUAGUUAUGCCAUUCGGAUUAACUAAUGCGCCCAGUACUUUCAUGAGGCUCAUGAAUCAUGUUUUGGGUGCUUUCAUUGGAAAAUUUGUGGUUGUAUAUUUUGAUGAUAUCUUGGUGUAUAGUAAGAGCUUGAAGGAUCAUAUCCAUCAUUUGCGACGCGUGCUUCAAGUAUUGAGACAUAAAAACUUAUAUGCUAACUUGAAGAAAUGUACAUUUUGCAUGGAUCGAGUUGUGUUUUUGGGAUUUGUUGUUAGUUCCAAGAAUAUUCAGGUUGAUGAGGAAAAGGUGAAAGCAAUUAAGAAUUGGCCGACGCCGAAAUCCGUAACUGAGGUAAGAAGUUUUCAUGGUCUAGUCAGUUUCUAUAGGCGAUUUGUGCAGGAUUUUAGUACUUUGGCUGCUCCAUUGACGGAAGUGGUUAAAAAAGAUAUAAGUUUCAAAUGGAGAGUAGAACAAGAGCAAGUAUUUAAUUUAAUUAAGGAAAGGCUUUGUUCUGCACCUUUAUUGGUUUUACCUGAUUUUUCGAAAACUUUCAAGAUUGAAUGUGAUGCUUCCGGGAUUGGUAUAGGUGCUGUUUUAAUGCAGGAAAAACGACCGAUUGCCUACUUUAGUGAGAAGCUAAGUGGAGCCGCUUUGAAUUAUUCUACAUGUGACAAGGAACUCUAUGCUUUGGUUCACGCUUUGGAGACGUGGCAGCACUACUUGUGGUUGAAGGAAUUUGUCAUACAUACGGACCACGAAUCAUUGAAGCAUUUGAAAGGGAAAAACAAGCUGAAUCAGAGACAUGCCUAGUGGGUUGAAUUCAUAAAGAUGUUUCCAUACGUGAUUCAGUACAAGCAAGGAAGGGAAAACGUGGUAGCUGAUGCAUUAUCACGGAGGUAUAUAUUUAUCUCUACUCUAAAUGCUAAAUUUCUUGGGUUUGAACAUCUUAAGGAGUUGUACAUGCAAAAUUCUGACUUUGGUGCUAUAUAUAGUGCAUGUGAAAAGAGUGCAUUUGGUAAGUUCUAUAAGCACGACGAAUUCUUAUUUAUGAAGAAUAAGCUAUGCAUUCCUAAUUCUUCUACGUGUGAAUUACUUGUGCUUGAGUUGCAUGGGGGAGGUCUUAUAGGUCAUUUCGGGGUAGUUAAGACUUUGGAUAUUUUGAAAGAACAUUUCUUUUGGUCGCAUAUGAAGAGAGAUGUGGAGAGAAUUUACUCUAAAUGUGUGACUUGUAAGAAAGCGAAAUCAACAGUCAAACUCCAUGAAAUGUAUAUGCCUUUACCUGUUCCUAAUGAGCCUUGGACUAAUAUAUCCAUGGAUUUCAUCCUAGGAUUGCCUAGGUCUAAUAAAGGACGAGAUUUCAUUUCGUAGUUGUGGAUCGAUUUUCUAAGAUGACACAUUUUAUUCCAUGCCGCAAAACUGAUGAUGACACACAUAUUGCUGAUUUGUUCUUUAGGGAGGUAGUGCGAUUGCAUGGGAUACCUAAGACCAUAGUGAGUGAUCGGGAUGCUAAGUUCUUGAGUCCUUUUUUGCGCUUAUUAUGGGGAAAGUUAAGAACUAAAUUGUUGUUUACAACUACUUGUCAUCCCCAAACGGAUGGGCAAACCGAGGUGGUUAAUAGGACGUUGUCCACUCUUCUUCGUACUGUCAUAAAAAGGAAUUUGAAGUUUUGGGAAGAUUGCGUACCGUUUAUUGAGUUUGCUUAUAAUCGUACAGUACAUUAUUUUACUAACUUCUCACCAUUUCAGAUUGUGUAUGGUUUUAAUCCACUAAUACCUUUGAAUCUAAUCUCUUUGCUUAUGAGUGAGAUUUCUAGUCUUGACAGAAAGAAAAAAGCAGAUAUGGUGAAAAAGAUUCAUGAAGAAGCGAGGCAACAUAUCUUAAAAAAGAAUAAACAAUAUGUUGAACGUGCCAACAAGGGACGGAAGAAAGUGACUUUUGAACCAGGAGAUUGGGUGUGGGUUCAUAUGAGGAAUGAAAGAUUUCCAAACCAACGGAAAUCCAAAUUGAGUCCACGAGGAAUUGGACCAUUCCAAGUCAUAGCCAAGAUAAAUGAUAAUGCUUACAAAAUAGAUUUACCAGGUGAGUAUAAUGUUAGCCCAACUUUUAAUGUUUCUGAUCUUUCUUCGAUUGAUGUAGGUCUCGAUUCGAGAACGAAUCUUUUUGA